rnacentral:rRNA from 1 species
AGUGAACGCUGGCGGUAGGCCUAACACAUGCAAGUCGAACGGCAGCACAGUAAGAGCUUGCUCUUACGGGUGGCGAAUGGCGUACGGAUGAGGAAUACAUCGGAAUCUACAUUUUCGGGGGGGAUAACGUAGGGAAACUUACGCUAAUACCGCAUACGACCUACGGGUGAAAGCAGGGGAUCUUCGGACCUUGUGGGAUUGAAUGACCCGAUGUCGGAUUAGCGAGUUGGCGGGGGAAAGGCCCACCAAGGCGACGAUCCGUAGCUGGUCUGAGAGGAUGAUAAGCCACAAUGGAACUGAGACACGGUCCAGACUCCUACGGGAGGCCGCAGUGGGAAAUAUUGGACAAUGGUGGCGAGCCUGAUCCAGCCAGACCGCGUGGGAGAAGGAGGCCUUCGGGUUGUAAAGCCCUUUUGUUGGGAAAGAACAGCAGCAGGUUAAUACCCAGCUGUUCUGACGGUACCCAAAGAAUAAGCACCGGCUAACUUCGUG